rnacentral:misc_RNA from 1 species
AAUUACCUUGGCGUCAUGUGGACCAUUCCAAUCUGUCGUUUAUCCAUUAAAGCUGCCAAAUACUAAGCUCCUGUUGAUAAUUAAUACAACAAAUGGCUACAAAAAGUGCUAUGUGGUGCACAACUAACAGGACAGUCUCUUUGCAGCUCACACAAACUUUAAAUAUUUUUACACAUAGAAAAGCUAGGAGGGAAGUCAUUAGAUGCCCAUGAAUUUCAACAAAAACUAUGGCCGGGAUACACCUGAGGCUUAUGAGGAAUCAGCAAGUUUAAAUACAAAUUUACAGUAAAACAG